CUGCUGCAGCGAUGAUGGAUUGUAUUGUAUCAAACCUUCUGGUUAACUGAUGUCGGAGCCAUGGAAUAAAAGCGAAAGCAUGAUCUUAGUUUAGUUAUGUGCGUAAAAAAGCUCAUGUACAUAUGUGACUUAAAUAUGUAGUUGCAGUCUCACACAAAGGAAGAGAGAAGAUAAAUUGAUGUCAAUGAAUUGUGAAUGGAAAUAAAAACACCAGACUGAAUUAUGUACUCUUUUUUUCCUAGCUUAAAUUAUUUAUUGAUAUUGUACUACACCCUGUUAUUCUAAUUUUAUACACUUCUUUCUUGCCCAAAAAUAUAUUAAUUGGUUCUUAGCUUCCUAAAACUCAGGAAUAUUUUAUCUUUCUCAUACAUUUUAAUUCAUUUUAUGCAGUCUGAGAUAAUACUGACGCGAUGUCCAGAUUUGGAUGUCUCAUCUCUGAACAUUUGAAACGCCGAGUACUCCAUGAAAGCUUGCCUAGCCGCUUUUGCGCAAUAUUAUAUCUUUGGACGUUUGCACUUCCGCGGCUCUAGACAUGAGCUUCCUUAUAUGAGUGCUAGCACGCUACAAUGCAGAGAAAGCUUUGAGAAAAUGCUUUGUUGGGAUCAUAGACAAGAAUAAUCAAUCCUCGUUCCAAGGUUAGAUUUGUACUUCCUUCCCAGUUCUUCUUUACAAAGGACCAAUCCCCUUACUUUAGACAUUCAUGUUGUCUUAAUUUUAUUCCUUCAUAGAAAAACAUUUUCUCAUUUCAAUCUUUCUCCAUUUGGUCUGAAUAUGGCACAUGCUCUUAAUUUUUUGACUAUUCUUGGUUGAUUAAUGGUUGGUGUAUUGCCUUCCACUUUGGAUUAUUCUCAAUCCUCUUGCUUAGGCUAUGUGUACCAUUCUAUCGCAUGUCGCCGCCACCGAUCUGAGCAAAAAUUAGUGUAGAUGAACCGAGCUAUUUUAUUGUAAGUUGUGUACAGAACUUAAUGGGAAAAUAAUCAUGUAGUUAAUGUUUUAUGCCAUAUAUAUCCAUAGUAGGUGAAUCCUCGCAAGUUGGUCCCGGUAUCUAAAUAGGAUUGUGCCAACCUAGAGCCUUUUCAGAUUGUAGCAACUCUGUUUGGGGUUUCCUUCUACCUAAUCAAGGCUCAUUCCAGUUUGCUCUGUCCUUAUCUCUUUUUCUGUCAUAAAUUCUUCACCUAUUCAAGAAGCUCAUUUUUUGUUAGUUGGAACAACUAAAAAAAUCAUGUCCAUGUUGUACUGGUGACUUGAUAUAUUGUAUUUUUAAUCACAUUGCCGCAUAUUUCUCUAUUUAGAGUACAGUGAGGAAAAUGUCAACCUCCUGCAACCAACCAUGCAGUAAUUUACUAUUUUGAGCUCUCUGGAUAUCAUAUAUAGAUGUACAUUUCAGUGCCUUUCUUUUCUGGACUACACUACUUUUCAGAUUUCAAGUGUCUGAAUCUUCCGUACAAAAGAUAGUCAAGCUUAUAUGGUGUUUCAUAGGAGCAUUGAUACCAAUCAUUGAGAAUAUACCUCUCUUCUACAUGUAUGUGAUUGUCAUAGUACCUAGGUUCAAGAAAUGUUUUUAAUGGUGCUAGAGUCCGGGAAGUAAAAACUGAACCUUUUAUGGUGAAGGAUCAUCGCGGAGAAGGUGAAUUUACGCCUCUGCUUUAUCUGUAACCGUUUCUUCGUGUUAGUAUUAAGCCACCAGGGAAGUUUCAAGAAAAAUGUGCUUUGAAGUACCAUAUUAUGCAGUUAGCUCACGGAUACAAUGAUACAGUUAUCUCCAUCCUGAGAUGCCCUCCUAACUACUAUACUCAUUCAUGUGCCUUCUGCUCUAUGGCACACCUGGAAUGGGGACGAUAUUGUUUGAUAGAGCCACCGCCCAUUAUGAAAUGAAUUGGAUUGGAUUACACAUUAUCGUGUGCUUUAUCAGGAGUUGUGUAAGUACUAAUUAUGCCAACCUGGGGCAACACUCCAAUGGUUUCUCCACAAAGGAUACCUCCUGGAGCCCUACUUCUCUCCCACCCCCAACACCGGUAUAGUAUGAAAAUCCUAUUACUAAAUAGCUUACUGUUUGAUGCUUAUGUUUGUUGGUAUAGUAAUCAUUUUUGAAGGUCCAGUCCCGGAGGAUGUUACUCGAGGCUUCCGUAUAGUCGAGUGAUUUUGCUUUUGCAUGCUAAUAAUACAAUACAGAUGGAUAUAAUUAGCAGUUAUUAGUGCAUAAUAUUUUGUCUCAAUACCAUAAAUUCAAUGUAAAGGUUUGCAUUAUUAUUGUCAAACCUAAAUUACAUUAAAGACUUGAACAGGGAAUGAUGCCUCUUUUAACUGAUUGGUGUGCUUUUUUAACUAUCUUUAAUGAGUAAAUCAUAGUGUAGUUGCAUCUUAUAUUUUGUUUGGGCAUGUAGGUGUGUGCUUCCUCGCUUAUCCCUUUCUUAUAAGUUGUCCUCAUUUUGUUGCUUCUAUUUAGGUUUGGAUUUUCUUCAACCCACAAGGCCCAUCCAGUUGUGAGCUACAAUGAAUUUGUUAAGAGUUGGAGGAGACAACAUUGCACAUUAGAGUCUCCAUUUCAUCUAAGCGGGGUGGUGAUGGACAAAACUGGUCAUGUUGAAAGUCAGUUUAGUGCAUCAAGGAUGGGAGGUUCAGAGAUUUGCAAGAGGUGAUGGAGGAUGGUUAGUUAUUAUGGCUCAUCACAUAGUAGUGAAAGAUGAGUACAAGCACAAGCUUAUUCAAAAUUUGCAGUUCUUGACUACAUGGGACAUAUAUUUUGUAAUCUUUUUCAUUUCUUCUAAGAGGAUCAAAUAUGUAUUUUGUUCUUCCCAAUGUUCUCAAGGACGAUGAUGGCAUUGAUAUAGUAUAA